CUUGCACCGAGAUUCAACAUGGAACGAGUGGCGGACGGGUGAGUAACACGUGGGUAACCUGCCCUUAAGUGGGGGAUAACAUUUGGAAACAGAUGCUAAUACCGCAUAGAUCCAAGAACCGCAUGGUUCUUGGCUGAAAGAUGGCGUAAGCUAUCGCUUUUGGAUGGACCCGCGGCGUAUUAGCUAGUUGGUGAGGUAAUGGCUCACCAAGGCGAUGAUACGUAGCCGAACUGAGAGGUUGAUCGGCCACAUUGGGACUGAGACACGGCCCAAACUCCUACGGGAGGCAGCAGUAGGGAAUCUUCCACAAUGGACGCAAGUCUGAUGGAGCAACGCCGCGUGAGUGAAGAAGGCUUUCGGGUCGUAAAACUCUGUUGUUGGAGAAGAAUGGUCGGCAGAGUAACUGUUGCCGGCGUGACGGUAUCCAACCAGAAAGCCACGGCUAACUACGUGCCAGCAGCCGCGGUAAUACGUAGGUGGCAAGCGUUAUCCGGAUUUAUUGGGCGUAAAGCGAGCGCAGGCG
rnacentral:rRNA from 1 species